UACGUAGGGGGCAAGCGUUGUCCGGAAUUAUUGGGCGUAAAGCGCGUGUAGGCGGCUCGGUAAGUCUGCUCUGAAAGCCCGGGGCUCAACCCUGGGAGGCGGGUGGAUACUGCUGAGCUCGAGUCCGGAAGAGGCGAGUGGAAUUCCUGGUGUAGCGGUGAAAUGCGCAGAUAUCAGAAAGAACACCGGAGGCGAAGGCGGCUUGCUGGGCUCGGUCUGACGCUGAGGCGCGAAAGCGUGGGGAGCGAACAGG
rnacentral:rRNA from 1 species